GACGAACGCUGGCGGCGUGCUUAACACAUGCAAGUCGAACGGGCCCGCUCUCUUUUUUGGGGGUGGGUUGAGUGGCGGACGGGUGAGUAUCACGUGAGUAACCUGCCCCCUGCUCCUGGAUAACUGCUUGAAAGGGCGGCUAAUACGGGGUGUGCCGGCUGGUCCGCAUGGGCCUGGUCGGGAUAGUUUCAUCUUCGGGUGUUUCGGUGGGGGAUGGGCUCGCGGCCUAUCAGCUUGUUGGUGGGGUGAUGGCCCACCAAGGCGGUGACGGGUAGCCGGCCUGAGAGGGUGGGCGGCCACACUGGGACUGAGACACGGCCCAGACUCCUGCGGGAGGCAGCAGUGGGGGGUAUUGCACAAUGGGCGGAAGCCUGAGGCAGCGACGUCGCGUGAGGGAUGGAGGCCUUCGGGUUGUGAACCUCUUUCUCCGGUGGUGAAGGCCCUGUCCGUUGCGGCGGGGUUGACGGUAGCCGGGUAUGAAGCGCCGGCUAACUACGUG
rnacentral:rRNA from 1 species